rnacentral:lncRNA from 1 species
CAAAGUGCUGGGAUUACAGGUGUGAGCCACCACACCUGGCCUCAAGUAUGUCUUUAUCAGCAGCGUGAAAACAGACUAAUACACUAUACAAACAGAGUACACAAAGUGCUCGACAUAUUUAGCUAGCUAUUAUUAUUACUACUACUACUACUAUUAUUAUCUUUGAAGCUCCAACAUGGUUCUUAGCACAGAGGAGGCAUUUAUUAUAAAUGGCUAAUGAAUAAAGAGAUGAAUCAAGAUCCCCACUUUACAGUUGGGGAACGUGAGGCUCAGCGGCGGAAGGAGAGGUGGGAGGUUGCAUCCGUGGUCACUCAGCCAGCCUCCAGCAGAGAAAGAUCUGAUGCCACAGUCCAGGCUAUUCCUGCAGUUCCUCAAGGCCCUGCUCACUGAGGCCAAGUCAACAGAAGGACCUGUUCCAAGGUCAUGCACUGGUCAGCCGACUGUAGAACCAAGAUCAGAGAGCGGGCCCCUGGCUACUGGGCAGAUAGCAGCCUGCGGCCAAGCACAAGUGGCUUUCUGAGGUGAUUUUAUUGACCCCUGCUUCUCCCCGCGACCAGGCCUGGCCAUUCCCCAACUGCCAGGAGCAGCGACAGGUGAUGGAGCAGGAGGUGAUAAACACAUCCCCUGACUUCCGUGAACUCCCAUCCAAUUUGCCAUUCCCGGGCUUAUGCCAAGAGUGUUUGUGUUAAUAAACCAAAUGGGCUUUUCAGAGUCCACCCAGAGUGACUGAUGGCAGAGGCAGCGUGCAAUCCUGGCGGCUCCUUGGCCUCUUUCCUACUGAGCCAGGCGCCAGCUGCAGGGGGGAGGGGGCACAGGAGAGCACAGACUUCGGCUUCAAGUCACUUCAAGUCGCAGACUUCCAGAGUCGCCUGGGCCCAGGGACACUCUCCCAACACCCUCAAUGUGCAGUUCCACCCAAGGACCCACAGAGAACAUAAGAGAAGGAGAAAAUGUAUUCUUGUCCUGAAGGGCUUUACGCAAGACAGAGAAGUAGGAAGCUGUUCGUUUAGAGGACAAGCUACAAUUAGGUGUUGAAGCAGAAGUCCCCUGGGAGUUCAGAGAGCACCUUGUGGACUGCAGCAGUCUGGAGGGCCUCUGGGAGGAGGUGUUUGAAAGAGCCAUCCACCUCAUUAUCUGCCACAUGAAGGGCCUCGUGGAUCACGUUCCCACUAGGCAAGACUGGACCGGCAAUGUGGGUGAGGACAUGAAAACGCUGCCUCAAGGUUUGAAACCCACUGCCUCUGAGGGGAGAAAGAGGCUCUCAGCACUUCUCUUGGAUCAAAGGAUCAGGGAUGGCAGCGGAACCAACUGGAGUGCUGGCAGCGGGCGAGGCUGAGUGAGUGAUGUUCAAAACCGCACACUUUGGGUCCAGACAUUGAUAUCCUUCCAGAAAGUGCCCUGCAUGGAUGUGAGGGAGAACAAAAGGAUGGAGGAGAGAGAAAAUGCUCAGCUGGGAGAGUCAACCCAAGGCCUAAAUGAGCCAAUUCCAUGAUGUUCCAGCAGUAAGGAAAUCUGAGCAUCACCAAGUCACACAUUUCAGGCCUGGACAGUUUGGCAAGGUCAUUCCAUCCCGGCAAACCCUCCGCCAUACCUGUGUGUCUGGCAUCCUCACUGAAUCAGGAAAGGAUGCUGACACUCAGAGUUUCUGAGCACUGUUCAAGUUCAUGGCGAUGCAUAAAUGCCCAGAAUCUAGUUUCCUCCCCAAACUGCACCCCAUGUGCAAUUAACUCCACCCUCAGCCCCAUGAGUGAACAUGUGCUGGGCUGACCAACCCAAACACUGCUACCCACCCGGACACAGUAAUUCAUUCUGGUAUAAGCUCACAAAUUUAAGUGAUGAGAUACAAGGUCUGGGACUGCAUUAAAACUAUUAAGAGGGUGGUAUAUUUUCUGCUGGCCUUAAACCUAGGACCCUCCGGAUCUCUCCGUGUUCUAGAGUUGCCGGCAGCUACGUUGCUAUCCCAUGGGCCUGAAGAAUGAAGCCAGCAGAGAAGCAAGCAGAAGAGACAGCUGGAGAGAGAAGAGGUCCUGAUGGUAUCUGUAACAGUCAGAGAAAUGCUAGUUGCUG